UACGUAGGUGGCAAGCGUUAUCCGGAAUUAUUGGGCGUAAAGAGCGCGCAGGUGGUUGAUUAAGUCUGAUGUGAAAGCCCACGGCUUAACCGUGGAGGGUCAUUGGAAACUGGUCGACUUGAGUGCAGAAGAGGGAAGUGGAAUUCCAUGUGUAGCGGUGAAAUGCGUAGAGAUAUGGAGGAACACCAGUGGCGAAGGCGACUUUCUGGUCUAUUAUUGACGCUGAGGCUCGAAAGCAUGGGUAGCAAACAGGAUUAGA
rnacentral:rRNA from 1 species